UUAUUCUGUUAUUAUUUCUGUCGUACAGAAAGCAGACAUUGGCCAUAAAGCUGUUGUCCAGAAUGUGAUUCAAGUGUUUCAGAUUUUUAUCUUUUUUUUGCCUGCUACUGGGGAACAAAGUUGUGAUCUCCUCGCUUUGAACACCGCAACACGCUCACUGCAAAUUAAGGUUGGGUAUUUGGAUUUGGCGGUAAAAUAAACAAAUACUCGUUGGUACUUGUUUGCUGUACACCUUAAAUGUGACACAGCGGAAACAUAAUGAAAGCAAAAGUUAUUUUAACCUGGGUUCCUUUCAUAUGAAAAUUAGCAGUUUUAGCAAAUUAACUAGAGUUUUUGCGGCUUCCGCUGUUACCAUAGUUACUGAGUAACAAACCGCCGUCGGACUUCACGAGUCAGCAAACGUAACGCUUGUUUUUCGUGGGGUUUUCCAAAACUCAUUAACAGAUAAUAUUUACGAAGAUGGAGUCUAAAACCAAGCAACCAGUUUUUCCUUGACCUACUUCCUGUGUUUGCCCACCUGACCUGAACAAGUAUGAGGGCAGGGAUGAGGAGACUUGAGAAAUACAUAGAAUUCAGAUGAGGAAGAGGAAAAGGGAGAGGCAGGACUAGGGAAGACAAACAUGGUACAGGGAAAGGUUGCAAGCAAAGUAUCUUAAAGCCCCGGAUAACAAGCUGUCAUCUAUCAGGUGUUGGCGUUUCACAAACACCAGUCUCUGCUCAUCAGUGACACCUGAGGUCUACACAGGAGUCUCACCUCUUAUUUUCCCGGGGACUCAAGAGCACAACUCCAGUCAAACGCCUAGAAAGAGCAUCUCUAAAGAGCAUGCCUGCUUCUCAAAGCAGAUGAUCCAGAAGCAGAUUCGCAGUACGUAUGUCGCUUCUGUAGAGGAAAAACUCAAGCAGCACCCUCUGGCUAUGUACCCUCACUAUAAGGAUCACCUGACUCCUGAAUUAUUUAAUCGGGUGGUGGCUGUUUUGGACCCAGAUUUGAAUGUGAGCAAUGCCUCUGCACUUCCUGCACCUUCAGAAGACCUCGCAGAGGAGGUCAAAACAGGAAACAGCCAAACUUAAAAUGAUGAAUGCUUCUGAUGGUGCUCCUCCUUCAAGUCUGUUUGCCACCAAUUGUGCCCAUUCAAGCACACAGCAACUUCUCAGGUUUUUGCACAAAAUCCCAACCAGGAAGGCUAUUCAUAUUUCCGAAGCAAGAACAAAAUUCAGUACAGAUCACAAAUAUAAGUGAAAUAUAAAUUUUGAUAUCUUUUACUUGGGGAGGAAAAAAACAGUUACUUGCAAAAAUAAACAAAUUCAAGAGUCUGGCAACAGGUCCAAGUAGCUGAACUAAAAUGUAAACAAGAAAUAGAAUGGGGACUUGGAUCUGGCACAAAUCUCAAGAAAACCCAUCGUCCUUUCCCGUCUAACGUAACAAACAGCUGGUUUCAUGGCAUGUAACACAAACGAUCAAGAGUGAAGAGGAUACAAAAUAUUUGGAUUUAAAGACCUCUGCGUGGUAGGUCCACAUCGUUUGUAUAUGGAAAAAGCUCAAGAGGAUACAAAGGACAAGGGUGUUUAAGUAUGACUUUAUUUCUAAAGAAUCUCCUUUUUUUGAAGAGUAAGAUAAAGAUCAAUAACAAGAGGUGUGUAUAUUUGUUAUCAUAUAAAGGAAAUAUGGAUAAUUAAGUAGUGCUUAUAAACAAAGGAUGGCAGAAGAUUUCCAGAGUCCCUAAAAGCAGCCGGAACUGUACUAGAUGUACUGUAUGGGCAGCAUGUGUCCCAACUACUUGAAUCACAGCUUUUAUUAUAAAUUUAUUAUAAAUCUAUGCUAUGAAUAAAAUAAUUAUUAACAGACUUCACAUUUUUCAA